rnacentral:rRNA from 1 species
UAGGGAAUAUUAGAAAUGGACGAAAGUCUGAUCUAGCAACACCGCGUGUGCGAAGAAGGCCUUCGGGUCGUAAAGCACUUUUUGGAAGGAAUAGGAAGGAAUGUACUUCCAGAAUAAGUCUCGGCUAACUACGUGCCAGCAGCCGCGGUAACACGUAGGAGGCGAACGUUAUCCGGAUUUACUGGGCGUAAAGCGCGUGUAGGUGGUUUGGUAAGUAGAGCGUGAAAGCUCCUGGCUCAACUGGGAGAGGUCGUUCUAAACUGCCGGACUAGAGGAUGGUAGAGGGAGGUGGAAUUCCGGGUGUAGCGGUGGAAUGCGCAGAUAUCCGGAGGAACACCAGUGGCGAAAGCGGCCUCCUGGACCAUUUCUGACGCUCAGACACGAAAGCUAAGGUAGCAAACG